rnacentral:rRNA from 1 species
GGGAUUGCCCCAGUAACGGCGAGUGAAGCGGCAACAGCUCAAAUUUGAAAUCUGGUCCCCAGGGCCCGAGUUGUAAUUUGUAGAGGAUGCUUUUGGCGAGGCGCCUUCCGAGUUCCCUGGAACGGGACGCCACAGAGGGUGAGAGCCCCGUCUGGUCGGAUGCCAAGCCUAUGUAAAGCUCCUUCGACGAGUCGAGUAGUUUGGGAAUGCUGCUCAAAAUGGGAGGUAUAUGUCUUCUAAAGCUAAAUACCGGCCAGAGACCGAUAGCGCACAAGUAGAGUGAUCGAAAGAUGAAAAGCACUUUGAAAAGAGGGUUAAAAAGUACGUGAAAUUGUUGAAAGGGAAGCGCCUAUGACCAGACUUGGGCCCGGUGAAUCAUCCAGCGUUCUCGCUGGUGCACUUUGCCGGGCACAGGCCAGCAUCAGUUUGGCGCGGGGGACAAAGGCUUCGGGAAUGUGGCUCCCCUCGGGGAGUGUUAUAGCCCGUUGCGCAAUACCCUGCGCCGGACUGAGGUACGCGCUCCGCAAGGAUGCUGGCGUAAUGGUCAUCAGCGACCCGUCUUGAAACACGGACCAAGGAGUCGUCUUCGUAUGCGAGUGUUCGGGUGUAAAACCCCUACGCGUAAUGAAAGUGAACGCAGGUGAGAGCUUCGGCGCAUCACCGACCGAUCCUGAUGUUCUCGGAUGGAUUUGAGUAAGAGCAUACGGGGCCGGACCCGAAAGAAGGUGAACUAUGCCUGUAUAGGGUGAAGCCAGAGGAAACUCUGGUGGAGGCUCGCAGCGGUUCUGACGUGCAAAUCGAUCGUCAAAUAUGGGCAUGGGGGCGAAAGACUAAUCGAACCUUCUAGUAGCUGGUUUCCG